rnacentral:rRNA from 1 species
UACAGAGGGGGCCAGCGUUAUUCGGAAUUAUUGGGCGUAAAGGGCGCGUAGGCGGCCAUGCGUGUCUUCCGUGAAAUCCCUCGGCUUAACUGAGGACGUGCGGAAGAGACUGCAAGGCUCGAGUCCGGGAGAGGAGGGUGGAAUUCCCAGUGUAGCGGUGAAAUGCGUAGAUAUUGGGAGGAACACCGGUGGCGAAGGCGGCCCUCUGGACCGGUACUGACGCUGAUGCGCGAAAGCGUGGGUAGCAAACGGG